rnacentral:rRNA from 1 species
GGUGAACGUUGGCGGUGCGUCUAAUACAUGCAAGUCGAGCGAGGCUUCGAGCCGAGCGGCGGACGGCUGAGUAACACGUUGGUAGCUACCUCAAACUCAGGGAUAACUAUGAGAAAUCAUAGCUAAUACCGGAUAGUCCCGUAAGGGUAAAGAUUUAUCGGUUUGAGAGGUGCCUGCGUCCUAUCAGGUAGUUGGUGAGGUAACGGCUCACCAAGCCUAUGACGGGUAACUGGUCNGAGAGGAUGGCCAGUCAGAGGGAAACUGAGACACGGUUCCCACUUCUACGGAAGGCAGCAGUAAAGAAUCUUCCACAAUGGACGAAAGUACUGAUGGAGCGACACCGCGUGAAGGAUGAAGGCCC